rnacentral:rRNA from 1 species
GACGAACGCUGGCGGCGUGCUUAACACAUGCAAGUCGAACGGAAAGGCCCUGCUGUUGUGGGGUGCUCGAGUGGCGAACGGGUGAGUAACACGUGAGUAACCUGCCCUUGACUUUGGGAUAACUUCAGGAAACUGGGGCUAAUACCGGAUAGGAGCUCCUGCUGCAUGGUGGGGGUUGGAAAGUUUCGGCGGUUGGGGAUGGACUCGCGGCUUAUCAGCUUGUUGGUGGGGUAGUGGCUUACCAAGGCUUUGACGGGUAGCCGGCCUGUGAGGGUGACCGGCCAAAUGGGAACUGGGACACGGCCCGGACUCCCGCGGGGGGAAGCAGUGGGGAAUAUUGGACAAGGGGCGGAAGCCUGAUCCAGCAACCCCGCGUGGGGGAAGAAGGCCUUUGGGGUUCAAACCGCUUUUCCCUCGGAGGAGGGGUGAGGGCCGGUAUGGGGUAAGAAACCCCGGCUAACCCCGUG